rnacentral:rRNA from 1 species
GACGAACGCUGGCGGCGUGCCUAAUACAUGCAAGUUGAGCGAUGAAGAUUGGUGCUUGCACCAAUUUGAAGAGCAGCGAACGGGUGAGUAACGCGUGGGGAAUCUGCCUUUGAGCGGGGGACAACAUUUGGAAACGAAUGCUAAUACCGCAUAACAACUUUAAACAUAAGUUUUAAGUUUGAAAGAUGCAAUUGCAUCACUCAAAGAUGAUCCCGCGUUGUAUUAGCUAGUUGGUGAGGUAAAGGCUCACCAAGGCGAUGAUACAUAGCCGACCUGAGAGGGUGAUCGGCCACAUUGGGACUGAGAACAGGCCCAAACUCCUACGGGAGGCAGCAGUAGGGAAUCUUCGGCAAUGGACGAAAGUCUGACCGAGCAACGCCGCGUGAGUGAAGAAGGGUUUCGGAUCGUAAAACUCUGUUGGUAGAGAAGAACGUUGGUGAGAGUGGAAAGCUCAUCAAGUGACGGUAACUACACAGAAAGGGACGGCUAACUACGUG